rnacentral:rRNA from 1 species
UGACCUCGGAUCAGACGUGAAUACCCGCUGAACUUAAGCAUAUCACUAAGCGGAGGAAAAGAAACUAACAAGGAUUCCCUCAGUAACGGCGAGUGAACAGGGAAAAGCCCAGCACCGAAGCCUGUGGCCAUUUGGUUACUAGGCAAUGUGGUGUUUAGGUCGUCCCUUGGAGAUGUUGCCUCACCCCAAGUCCAGCAAUGAGUAUGGUUAUUCUGACUUGGCCCAGAGAGGGUGAAAGGCCCGUGGGGGUGAGGUUCAUGCAUGAUAAUGUCUCCCUGGGUAGACCUUGGAGUCGGGUUGUUUGUGAUUGCAGCCCAAAGUGGGUGGUAAACUCCAUCCAAGGCUAAAUACUUGCACGAGUCCGAUAGCGAACAAGUACCGUGAGGGAAAGUUGAAAAGUACUUUGAAGAGAGAGUAAACAGUGCGUGAAACCGCUCAGAGGUAAACGGGUGGAGUUGAACUGCAAACUUUGAGAAUUCAGCUGGUGGAAGUGGUUUGUGCUUGGACAAAGCGAUUGGUCAUGCGGGUCUGCUCAGUUGCAGGUCUCUACCUUCGGGUAGGGAUGCGCGAGGCACUUGUCAAGUGUUGCGCGCUCGCAGGAUGACUCGGAUCAAUUCGCCAGUGCACUUUCUCAUUGUGUUCACCACGACCGGCGCUGCUGUCUGUCUGAUAUGGCCAAACCGGUUUUGCAUUGUCCUUGUGGCUUUGCUUGAUCGGGAUGGCAGGUGACUCGUUGGCUUGUGUGUUGGCUUCGGCUUGCAUGCGCUUGGCUUUCGAGCGUAAUCAGCUGGCUAUAUUGGUACUGUGCAGUGCGUCGGAGACGGCGGCUUGUUGUGUAUGCAUUCGUGCUUACAUGCUGACGGUUCCGGGUUUGGUUGUCUGUUGCCUGUUUCGGCAGGCCUGAUAAUGGCUCGGUUCUGCUUAGUAUGUUGUUGCGUUUGUUUCACAUAUAAGGGCCAAUAGUCUGUGGUGUAGUGGUAGACUAUCCACCCGACCCGUCUUGAAACACGGACCAAGGAGAGUAACAUGUGCGCAAGUCAUUGGGCGUUACGAAACCCAAAGGCGCAGUGAAAGUAAAGGCUCGGCUUGUCUGGGCUGAGGUGAGAUCCUGCCGUUCCUCAUGCGCGGUACUACCAAGCAUCAGAGCGGUAGGCGCAUCACCGGCCCGUCCCAUGGCGUGGACACGGUCUUCGGGCUGUGCACCGUCGGGGCGGAGCAUGAGCGCACAUGUUGAGACCCGAAAGAUGGUGAACUAUGCUUGCGCAGGUUGAAGCCAGAGGAAACUCUGGUGGAGGACCGCAGCGAUUCUGACGUGCAAAUCGAUCGUCAAACGUGAGUAUAGGGGCGAAAGACUAAUCGAACCAUCUAGUAGCUGGUUCCCUCCGAAGUUU